rnacentral:rRNA from 1 species
GACGAACGCUGGCGGCGUGCUUAACACAUGCAAGUCGAACGAAGUGGCGAACGGGUGAGUAACGCGUAAUCAACCUGCCCUUCAGAGGGGUACAACAGUUGGAAACGACUGCUAAUACCGCAUACUGAAGGAGGGGAUUGCGUCUGAUUAGCUAGUUGGAGGGGUAACGGACCACCAGGGCGAUGAUCAGUAGCCGGUCGGAGAGGAGGGACGGCCAGAUUGGGAGUGAGACACGGCACAGACUCCUACGGGAAGCAGCAGUGGGGAAUCUUCCGCAAUGGACGAAAGUCUGACGGCGAAACGCCGCGUGAGUGAUGACGGCCUUCGGGUUGUAAAGGUCUGUUAAUCGGGACGCGGUACCGGAAUAGAAAGCCACGGCUAACUACGUGCCAGCAGCCGCGGUAAUUC